rnacentral:rRNA from 1 species
AGAGUUUGAUCAUGGCUCAGAAUGAACGUUGGCGGCGUGCCUAACACAUGCAAGUCGAGCGAGAAAGCUCCUUCGGGAGUGAGUACAGCGGCGGACGGGUGUGUAACACGUGAGUAUCUGCCCUUUAGUGAAGAAUACCCUUGAGAAAUCGAGGCUAAUACUGCAUAAUCCCUUCGGGGGGAAGGUGGCUUUAUGCUGCCGCUAAAGGAUGAGCUUGCGGGCUAUUAGCUUGUUGGUGAGGUAAAGGCUCACCAAGGCGAUGAUGGCUAGCCGGCCUGAGAGGGUGUACGGCCACAUUGGGACUGAGAUACGGCCCAGACUCCUACGGGAGGCAGCAGUGAGGGAUAUUGCGCAAUGGGCGAAAGCCUGACGCAGCGACGCCGCGUGGAGGAUGACGGUUUUCGGAUUGUAAACUCCUGUUAAGCGGGAAGAAAGCCCAAUCUCUAAUAUAGAUUGGGGAUGACGGUACCGCUAGAGAAAGCACCGGCUAACUUCGUGCCAGCAGCCGCGGUAAUACGAGGGGUGCAAACGUUAUUCGGAUUUACUGGGUGUAAAGGGUGUGUAGACGGUUUGUUAAGUUUGUUGUUAAAUCUUUCGGCCUAACCGAAAGUUCGCGAUGAAAACUAACAGGCUUGAGGGUGAAAGAGAGAAGCGGAAUUCUCGGAGUAGCGGUAAAAUGCGUAGAUCUCGAGAGGAACACCGAUGGCGAAGGCAGCUUCUUGGUUCACUCCUGACGUUGAAACACGAAAGCGUGGGGAGCAAACAGGAUUAGAUACCCUGGUAGUCC